rnacentral:rRNA from 1 species
ACAGGCUUAACACAUGCAAGUCGAGGGGUAGCAGGGUAGCAAUACCGCUGACGACCGGCGCACGGGUGAGUAACACGUAUCCAACCUUCCCAUAACUCGGGGAUAGCCUUUCGAAAGAAAGAUUAAUACCCGACAGUACUUUUUUAGGGCAUCUUAGAAAAGUUAAAGAUUUAUUGGUUAUGGAUGGGGAUGCGUUCCAUUAGAUAGUUGGUGAGGUAACGGCUCACCAAGUCUUCGAUGGAUAGGGGUUCUGAGAGGAAGGUCCCCCACAUUGGUACUGAGACACGGACCAAACUCCUACGGGAGGCAGCAGUGAGGAAUAUUGGUCAAUGGGCGAGAGCCUGAACCAGCCAAGUAGCGUGAAGGAUGACGG